UGAUGAAAAAUAAUUUUUUUUUUGUUGUAUUUAUAAGAUUAUUUAUUGGCUUCUAUAUACAUUCAUUAAUAUCAUAUCAAUACUAAUAAAUAAGAUUUUUUAACCUAUUUUGACACAACCUUGAGCCUAAAACUUUAUCCACCUCAAACUCUUGAUUACUAUUCACUUCUAUAGGAGAAUGUGUUAUUUGUCUUUUUUUCAAGAUAUUCACUAUCUAAUAUGGUUUAAAAAGAGACAUAUAGAAUAUGAAAUUGAUCUUUAUAGACUUUGAUAGAUGUAAUCAAUAAGCAAUUAAAUUAAUUUGCUUAUAAAUAAAAAAAUAAUUUAAACCUAUAAUAAUCCAAGUUAUCAAAAGAGUGAUUAAUUUUGAUAUUGAGACAAAGUAAUCAUAUCUUAUUACCAAUGCAAAAUUGAAGUUGUUCUUUAUAAUAGACAUCUACAUUGGUCUUUAUUCAUUAUUGAACUUCUAUUAGUUGUAUCUUUAUUGUUAUAUAUAGCUUAAAUAAACAAUUUGAUGAAUCUUUCACUAUAAGAUUAUCAAUUUUUGUAAAGUUAUAAGUAUCAAGUCAUAUGUGAUAAUUGUAAUUAGAAAAAAUAGAUGUUUAUUGCAUAGCAAAAUUUACCAUAUUAUUAUAAGCAAACUCUAUCAAUGAUAAAAAAAAUUCUUCAAUUAUUUCAUUGGUAGUUGAUGGUAUACUUUAAAUACUACUCCAAAACUUGGUUUACAUGCUUUGUCUAUCCAUUGAUUUGAGGAUAAUAAGUCAAAGAUAGUUUUGUAUCCACCUUAAAAAUCUUAAAAAGAUUCUCUAAAAUCUUGAUAAAAAUUGAAUCCUCCUAUUUGAUAUAAUAUCCUUGAAUAAUCCAUGAUAGCAAUAAUAUUGUAAAAAAAAAAUUAAGUUAUUUUUUUUUACCUAUGAUAAAUUUUAUAUAUAAUAUAAAAUAUACUAUCUUGGUAAAAUGACCUACUAUCACAAAUAUAGAAUCAUACAAACCUAAGACUAGAAGAUCUGUGAUAAAAUCCAUAGAAACAUAAGACCAUUAUUAUUUCAAAAUAUACGAUGAUUAAAAAAGUCCAUAAGAUUGAUGAUGAGGAGUUUUUUAUCUUAAAAAAAUGUCAUAUGAUUGUAUAAAGUCUUUGACUACCUUUUACAUUUGAGGCCACCAAAAAUCUUUCAAUAUUAGCUCCAAAGACUUAUUGUAUCUAAAAAGUUUGGCUGUAGAAAAAUUGUAAUGAGCUUGAAGAAUACAUAAUUAUACUUUGUCUUUUCAAAUAUAUAAUUAUUCUUAAAAAUAGAAUAGAUUAGUCUUGAACUCAAAUCUAAAAGUCUCAUAAGACUUAGAAGAAUUAAUCUUAAUAUCAUGAAUAAGAUGAUUAAAGUACAUAUUCAAUUUAACUUGCCUCAAAAAGGUUGAAUCAAUAAUUAAUGUUGAUUUUAUUGCUUGAAGAUGAAAAUACUUUAGCUUUAAGAGAAUUAUUCUUUGUUGAUUAAAAACUAUAUUUUUUUUAAGUGUAAGAAAAGAAUAUUUAAGAAGAAUGUCUAAAAAUUUUUUUUAUUUUUUAAGUUGCAUAGUAAUCUUAAAAUCAAAUCUUAAUAAAAACAUGCUUCAAUGAGCUUGGCAACAAUUCAAAAUACGUACUGAUAUAAAGUACUCAAGAUUUUUGUGAUUUAUUAUUACAAUGAAAAAAUUUAUAUUAAAAAAAUAUAGAAUUUAUGGCUACAACUAGAUAUGAUCAAAUAAUAACUUUCAUUCAAAUAAAAUCUAUUAACUCAUAUUCAUGAUAGUAUGUAGGAGUUGUCACCCUUUUUCUUUGCAUUAAUUGCUAUAGCUCCAUACUUCACUAGAUUUGAAUAUGUGAUGGUUUUUUGAAGAGCUAUUUAGUUUGUACAUAUGCAAAUCAAAUCUCUCUUCUUAAAAUUUUCCAAAACAUAUUUUAUGAGCAAACAAAGCUAUUAUUCAUAUUAACACAAGGCAAUUGACUCAUUCUUAUCCAAAAAGGUACUACAAUCUCGUACUAAAUCUUCUCAAAGCAACUAAGAACUUUCUGAAAAGCUUAUAAAGAGAAGAAAAAUUCUUCAAAAUAUCAACUUCAAAUUCAAAAUGCACUACAAAAAAAUCCUCAAAAAAAAUUCUUCAAUAAAAUUUUGAAAAAAAAUCCUAAAAAAUAGUUGAUUCUAUCUUCAUUAAAAAAUACACUACAUCUUAAUACUAUCUUUUUUUAGAAAAAAUAAGAAAUUUUUGAAAAUAAUAAAAACCUUCUUUUAAAAUCUCAAAAUAAAAAACUAAACAUACUAUCAAAAAACCUCCAAAGAAAAACCUUAAAAAACAAUUCCAAAGAUAAGUCUUCAAAAGUAGCUAGUUCUCUCUUUAUUCAAAAAUACAUUACAUCUUCAUAUUCAUUCUUCUUGAAGGAAGUAAGAACAAUAUAGAAUUCUAACAAAGAGAGUAAUAACUUCUUUAAAUCUAAAAAUAAAAAAGUAAAUAUACUAUGGAAAAACCUCAAAAAAAAAAACCCCUAAAGAAAGACGUCCAAAGAAAAAUCUUGAAAAGUGGCCAAUUUUUUUUUUUUUUUUUUUUCUUUUUUUCAAAAACACAAUGAAACUUCAUACUAAUUGUGAGGCCAAAUUUCACCAUUUGAUGAAACCUAUGCUACACAACAAGUCCAAGAGGUGGAAUUGGAGAGCUCUCAAUUGUAUAAUUGUUAGAUUAAUUUAAAUCUUUAUAUUAAAAAUUCAAUUAGUUUUAGGCCUUUCAAGCAAUGGUUACCAACAUUAAAUUAAUAUUUUAAAUGGAAUUUACUAUGCAAACAUAAUAAAAAUAAUUAAUUAAGUUAUUACUAUUAAUUGACCAUAAGAAUAAAAACUUAAGUUUGAAUUAAAAGCUAAGUUAAAAGUUAAGUUAAAAAAGUUACAAUUAAAAAUUAAGAUUAAAAAGUUAAGUUAAAAGUUAAAAUUAAAAGGUUAAGUAAAAACAAGUAAGUUAAAAUUUAAAAUUAAAGGUUAAGUGAAAAGUUAAAAUUAAAAGUUAAAAUUAAAGUUAAAAGUUAAAGUUAAAAAUUAAAGUGAGAAUCUUAAAGGUUAAAAGUUAAACUUAAAAUUUAUUACCCAAAAAGUGAAAUUUGGAGCUUACAAGUCACUGUGAAGACGAUAGUAAAAAUAAAGUGAGAUGUAAAACCGAAGGUACCUUGACAACACGUAAGGAUUGAAGGCAGCAACCCCCUUCUACUCCAAAAUUCGCCAAAAUUUGUAAUCGGCUUCAAUUUGAACGAUUCUUAGCUUGUUGUAAGGCUGACUUAAAGGCGCUUUUGAUCCAACAAUCCUUGUUGCAAUCUAAUGAUCCAAUCGUGAGGAUUCCUCCUUUGAAGUUGAAUGAUCCAAACUGCUGCGGUGACCAACUCUCUUAGAAAUUCACUAGAAAUUCAGAUUGUCUUAAAAUUCAACAAAACUUGUGCCUUUCAGAGCUUAGCUUAUAAAGCUUGAUGCUUCCAAAAUUUCUAAUAAAUCCAAUUACUAGGCGCUAAGAAAUGCCUUUCAAAACUUGAAUGAUGCAAACUGCAAAGGUAGUCGACUCCCUCAAACUCAGAAAUUCACCAAAAAUUCCUUCUUACUCCAAAUCAAGCAAGUCUUAUCUUGUUGGAAAGCUAACAACAAUAUCUACAAAUAUUCAGAAUCUCACAUUGAAAGAACAGAAAUUGAGUGACUGAUUGAAGAAAAUCCGAGGCCCUUGAAACCCUUGGGAUAUUUGGAAAGCCGAGGAGAUAUCUACUUCAAUGAAACAUAUUUUAAAACUUAAUGACCAUCCUUCACAAUGCAAUAUCCAUACAUACACAAUCACAAGGUUCACAAUGAGGAUUAAAAUCUAAAUAAAAUUAAGAUUAGGGUUUUGGCCAAAUUUUGGCAUGGCUUCGCCCUUCACCCAAAAG
rnacentral:lncRNA from 1 species